AGCAAGGAUGGGUCAGGCUUCCUCAUCAACCUCAUCGACUCCCCGGGCCAUGUGGACUUCUCUCCAGAGGUGACUGCUGCCCUGCGAGUCAUGGAUGGUGUCCUGGUGGUGGUGGACUGCGUGUCUGCUGCUUGCAUACAGAUGGAGAUGGUACUGCAAUAGGCCACUGCUGAGCACAUCAAGCCUGUGCUGAUGAUGAACAAGAGGACUGUGCACUGCUGGAGCUGCAGCUGGAGCCUAAGACACUCUACCAGACCUUCCGGCGCAUCGUGGAGAACAUGACCAUCAUCAUCAUCAUCUUCACCUACUGCGAGGGUGAGAAUGGACCCAUGGGCAACAUCAUGAUCGACCCUGUCCUGGGCACAGUGGGCUUUGGCUCCAGCCUGCAUGGCUGGGCUUUCACCCUGAAGCAGUUUGCAGAGAUGUAUGUGGCCAAGCUCACUGCCAAGGGUGAGGGCCAGGUGGGGCCUCCUGAACAUACCAAGAAAGUAGAGGACAUGAUGAAGAGGCUGUGGGGGACCGGUACUUGGACCCAGCCAAUGCUCAUCCUUGACCUCAUCUUCACGCCAUCAUGA